UCAAGUUAUUAAGGGUGCAGGGCGGAUGCCUUGGCACUAGGAGCCGAUGAAGGACGUGAUAAGCUGCGAUAAGCUUCGGGGAGUUGCACGUAAACUUUGAUCCGAAGAUUUCCGAAUGAGGAAACUCACUUAGAGUAAUGUCUAAGUAUCAUUAAGUGAAUACAUAGCUUAAUGAGGGGAACUCAGGGAACUGAAACAUCUAAGUACCUGAAGGAAGAGAAAGAAAUUCGAUUCCGUAAGUAGCGGCGAGCGAACGCGGAUUAGCCCAAACCAAUAAAGUUUUCUUUAUUGGGGUUGUGGACAUAUCAUAACGAAGAGGUAUCGUAAUUGAAGAGGUUUGGAAAGACCCACCACAGAAGGUAAUAGUCCUGUAUGUUAAACGAGAAGACUUUAGAUAUGAUCCAGAGUACCACGGGACACGUGAAACCCUGUGGGAAGCAGGAGGGACCACCCUCCAAGGCUAAAUACUACCUAGUGACCGAUAGCGUAUAGUACCGUGAGGGAAAGGUGAAAAGAACCCCGGGAGGGGAGUGAAAUAGAACCUGAAACCCUGCACUUACAAGCUGUGGAAGCACAUUUCUUGUGUGACCGCGUACUUUUUGUAGAACGGGCCAACGAGUUACGUUAAGUAGCAAGGUUAAGCACUUAAGGUGCGGAGCCGUAGCGAAAGCGAGUUUUAACUGAGCGUUCAGUUACUUGACGUAGACCCGAAACCGGGCGACCUACCCAUGAGCAGGAUGAAGCGAAAGUAAAAUUUCGUGGAGGUCCGAACCCACGAGCGUUGAAAAGCUCGGGGAUGACUUGUGGGUAGCGGUGAAAUUCCAAUCGAGCCCGGAGAUAGCUGGUUCUCCCCGAAAUAGCUUUAGGGCUAGCCUCAAGGUGAGAGAUACGGAGGUAGAGCACUGAAUGUCCUAGGGGGUAUUGCACCUACCGAAGACUAUCAAACUCCGAAUGCCGUCAUCUUAUACUUGGGAGUCAGACUGUGGGUGAUAAGAUUCAUAGUCGAAAGGGCAACAGCCCAGAUCGUCAGCUAAGGUCCCUAAAUGUAAGUUAAGUGGUAAAGGAUGUGGGAUUGCACAGACAACCAGGAUGUUGGCUUAGAAGCAGCCACUCAUUCAAAGAGUGCGUAAUAGCUCACUGGUCGAGUGAUCCUGCGCCGAAGAUUUCCGGGGCUAAAACUUACUACCGAAGCUACGGCAUCAGUAAUGAUGGGUAGGGGAGCUUCCCAUACGGGUUGAAGCAUGACCGUAAGGACAUGUGGACAGUAUGGGAGUGAGAAUGUUGGCAUGAGUAGCGAGAUGUGGGUGAGAAUCCCACAGGCCGUAAACCCAAGGUUUCCAGGGGAAGGUUCGUCCGCCCUGGGUUAGUCGGGACCUAAGCUGAGGCCGAAAGGCGUAGGUGAUGGACAACAGGUUGAUAUUCCUGUACUACCGAUAACCGUUUGAGAGAUGGGAUGACACAGUAGGAUAAGCUAAGCACACUGUUGGUUAUGUGUGCCCAAGCAUUGAGGCAGUCAAAGUAGGUAAAUCCGCUUUGAUAAUGCUGGGAUGUGAUGGGGAGCGAAAUUUAGUAGCGAAGUAGCUGAUUUCACACUGUCAAGAAAAGUCUCUAUCGAGGUUAAAGGUACCCGUACCGCAAACCGACACAGGUGGGUGAGGAGAGUAUCCUAAGGCCAGCGAGAGAACUGUUGUUAAGGAACUCGGCAAAAUGACCCCGUAACUUAGGGAUAAGGGGUGCCACCAUCAGGUGGCCGCAGAGAAUAGGCCCAAGCGACUGUUUACCAAAAACAUAGGUUUCUGCUAAGUCGCAAGACGAUGUAUAGGAGCUGACGCCUGCCCGGUGCUGGAAGGUUAAGGGGAUCUGUUAGAGCAAUCGAAGCAGUGAACUUAAGCCCCAGUAAACGGCGGCCGUAACUAUAACGGUCCUAAGGUAGCGAAAUUCCUUGUCGGGUAAGUUCCGACCCGCACGAAAGGCGUAACGAUUUGGGCACUGUCUCAACAACAGACUCGGUGAAAUUGUAAUUCCGGUGAAGAUGCCGGAUACCUGCGACAGGACGGAAAGACCCCAUGGAGCUUUACUGUAGCUUGACAUUGGGUCUUGGUACUACAUGUACAGGAUAGGUGGGAGGCUUUGAAACCAGGACGCCAGUUUUGGCGGAGCCAUCCUUGGGAUACCACCCUUGUAGUACUGGGACUCUAACCAUAGGCCAUGAAUCUGGUCUUGGGACACUGUCAGGUGGGCAGUUUGACUGGGGCGGUCGCCUCCCAAAAGGUAACGGAG
rnacentral:rRNA from 1 species